rnacentral:rRNA from 1 species
GACGAACGCUGGCGGCGUGCUUAACACAUGCAAGUCGAACGGAAAGGCCCUGCUUUUGUUGGUUGCUCGAGUGGCGAACGGGUGAGUAACACGUGAGUAACCUGCCCUUGACUUUGUGAUAACUUCAGGAAACUCGGGCUAAUACCGGAUAUGAUCUCCUGCUCCAUGGUGGGCGUUGGAAAGUUUCGGCGGUUGGGGAUGGACUCGCGGCUUAUCAGCUUGUUGGUGUGGUAGUGGCUUACCAAGGCUUUGACGGGUAGCCGGCCUGAGAGGGUGACCGGCCACAUUGGGACUGAGAUACGGCCCAGACUCCUACGGGAGGCAGCAGUGGGGAAUAUUGCACAAUGGGCGGAAGCCUGAUGCAGAAACGCCGCGUGCGGGAUGACGGCCUUCGGGUUGUAAACCGAUUUCGCCUGUGACGAAGCGUGAGUGACGGUAAUGGGUAAAGAAGCACCGGCUAACUACGUG